rnacentral:rRNA from 1 species
AUGGCUGAUGUGCUGGUGGAGAGACCUCCACCUCAUCGCCUUAAUCCCAGGGGAGCCGAACUGGCGCCCACGCUAUUGUUAGCAAGCUACGACCCAUUUGUGCUUCAGCUCGCUCGACCACUCUCUUCGCCCGCUGGAUGCUCACUCGCUUCCAAACUGCACGUCUGGGGCUCUUAUCGGUGUGAAGAACGACGAAUUCUAUGGGGUCAACACUCGGGGGCCGUUGUCAGUGCGUCAGGAGUGACAUGGCAUGGCUCUGGGGCGGUCGGUCGUUGGCUCACCGCCUACAGUCUGCUACCAAGGUGCCGGCAGGGCCAUGAUGAUGGCGACCGCAACCUCAUGGGCAUCAUACGUAUCAUGGACGAGUUCAACAAGCUUCGGGCAAGGCUUCACUCACUCUUGUGCAUGCGCUUCCCUGCUCUAUCGAACAGCGUGGCCCAUAGUGGUUGCCCCCUUCUUCUGACCGCCAGCGAUAUAGUUCUCCACCACGGCUGGCGGCAUAUUUACAGAGACAGAGAAAUAGAGCAUGGGCCAAAACCCUCCCUCGUGGGCCGGAACGCAACCGAACAGAGAACACCAUCGCUUCAUAUAUACAUGAAAUAUGAGUCUUCUGGUACUCAAACUCUAGAAUUGCAGAAUACUAGAGAGAAAGUGGAACAUGGGCCAAAUCCCUCCCUCGUGGGCCGGAACGCAACCGAACAGAGAACACCAGCGCUUCAUAUAUAUACAUGGCCGUCCCUUCUUCCCUCUGAAAAACUCUCUGAAAAAAUACCCCGCCUGACCGGCUCACCUCCGCCGCGUCCACCCCCACCCGGCUGGCCGUCGGCGGCGCACCGGCCCUCUUCGCCCUGUACCCCCGCCCGACGGCCCCGCCGCCAAGAAUUCGAGCUUUCUUGGCACAAGAAGCCGUUUCUUGGCCCGAGACAGCGUUUCUUGGCACAGGCCAAGAAACCCGGCGCCGGCGAGAUGCCCAGAAGGCCCCGCCGGGUCCAGGCGCACCCCGUGGCGGCGCAGCUCGGAGAGGAGGGGCGUCCCCUGCGCGAGCGCCUCCGGUUCGCCGUUCGGCGCGGGAUGGCGCGCGGAGGCCCCGCCGUCCGCGCUCUGCUUUGGCCACUCUGUCGCGCGGUGGCGCUCGGCGGCCGGCAUCUCCUCCGCGUCGUUCUGCGCGGGAUGGUGCGCGGAGGCCGCCAUCUUCUGCGCCCUUUUCGACUCCUGUGGCGCGGCCUGGAGCUCGGCGGCCACGCCCUGCAGCGCGCCGCGCUCGCCCUCGGCCGCCCUCUUCGUCUUCUGUGGCGCGGCCUGGAGCUCAGCGGCCACGCCCUGCAGCGCCGCGCGCUCGCCCUCGGCCGCCGACUCCUCGUCGCCCGCGUCCGACAGCAGGAGGCUGUGUACGGAGACGGCGAUGGCGAGCCCAGGACGCCGCCGAGGCCGACAGCGCAUGGCAGCGCUAUCUUCUACGAUCCCCGUGGGCGUCGACCUCGUCCUCCCUCGCUGCCGCUGCCUCCGCCGCCGCUACCUCCGCCGCCCCAGCCUUCUCCUCCUCCUCCGGUGGUAAGUCUGUCGCCCCAGCCUUCUCCUCCUCCUCCUCCGGUGGUUGUUGAUGGGGUGGAUGUGCCCAGGCACAUAGUCGAUCUCUUUGUCGACUAUUGCAGGAGAAGUUGUCCGGCUAAUUCAACAAUUUGUCACUUUUGCGUCUUUGAAAUGCAGCGGUCACAAAACUUCACGGUUGCUACUUGGCAGAUGCCUGCGCACUGUCAUGAUCUUCACAGGUUAGAGGGAGGGAGUGUCCGUUGCCCCGUGGCUGGCUGCCAUGUUCGAGUACGUCCAGGACGUGAUUUGGCACUGCACAGCCGCUUCGUGCACGAUUUCCCCCCAGGCUGGUGGCGUCGGUACAUCUGA